rnacentral:rRNA from 1 species
CAUUGGNUCAACCAAUGUACGCUUUGGAAACUGUUAGACUUGAGUGCAGAAGGGGAGAGUGGAAUUCCAUGUGUAGCGGUGAAAUGCGUAGAUAUAUGGAGGAACACCGGUGGCGAAAGCGGCUCUNUGGUCUGUCACUGACGCUGAGGCUNGAAAGCGUGGGUAGCGAACAGGAUUAGAUACCCUGGUAGUNCACGCCGUAAACGCUGAGUGCUAGGUGUUAGGUCCUUUCCGGGACUUAGUGCCGACGCUAACGCAUUAAGCACUCCGCCUGGGGAGUACGACCGCAAGGUUGAAACUCAAAGGAGUUGACGGGGGCCCGCACAAGCGGUGGAGCAUGUGGUUUAAUUCGAAGCAACGCGAAGAACCUUACCAGGUCUUGACAUCCCGAUGCCCGCUCUAGAGAUAGAGUUUUUCUUCGGAACAUCGGAGACAGGUGGUGCAUGGUUGUCGUCAGCUCGUGUCGUGAGAUGUUGGGUUAAGUCCCGCAACGAGCGCAACCCUUAUUGUUAGUUGCCAUCAUUAAGUUGGGCACUCUAGCGAGACUGCCGGUAAUAAACCGGAGGAAGGUGGGGAUGACGUCAAAUCAUCAUGCCCCUUAUGACCUGGGCUACACACGUGCUACAAUGGUUGGUACAACGAGUCGCAAGCCGGUGACGGCAAGCUAAUCUCUGAAAGCCAAUCUCAGUUCGGAUUGUAGGCUGCAACUCGCCUACAUGAAGUCGGAAUCGCUAGUAAUCGCGGAUCAGCACGCCGCGGUGAAUACGUUCCCGGGCCUUGUACACACCGCCCGUCACACCACGAGAGUUUGUAACACCCAAAGUCGGUGAGGUAACCAUUUAUGGGGCCAGCCGCCUAAGGUGGGANG